UACGUAGGGUGCGAGCGUUGUCCGGAAUUAUUGGGCGUAAAGGGCUCGUAGGCGGUUUGUCGCGUCGGGAGUGAAAACACCGGGCUUAACUCGGUGCUUGCUUUCGAUACGGGCAGACUAGAGGCAUGCAGGGGAGAACGGAAUUCCUGGUGCAGCGGUGAAAUGCGCAGAUAUCAGGAGGAACACCGGUGGCGAAGGCGGGUCUCUGGGCCGAUACUGACGCUGAGGAGCGAAAGCGUGGGGAGCGAACAGG
rnacentral:rRNA from 1 species